GCGUAGCUCAGUGGUAGAGCAUCUGCUUUGCAUGCAGAAAGACUCAGGUUCAAUCCCUGGCAUCUCCU